CGAACGGGUGAGUGAUACGUGAGUGACCUACCUUUGACUCUGGGAUAAGCCUGGGAAACUGGGUCUAAUACCGGAUACGACCAAUCUCUGCAUGGGGUGUUGGUGGAAAGCGUUAUGGAGUGGUUUUAGAUGGGCUCACGGCCUAUCAGCUUGUUGGUGAGGUAAUGGCUUACCAAGGCGACGACGGGUAGCCGGCCUGAGAGGGUGACCGGCCACACUGGGACUGAGACACGGCCCAG
rnacentral:rRNA from 1 species